GAUUGCAACACGAAGUGACAUUUUAGGAAAUGUCUCUUUGAUAAACUGUUGCACAGAAGUCUUACUGUAAGUGUGGUGGUUAUUUUAUGCAUCUACAUUCAUCAUUCUGUUCCAGCCUUUUGAGUGGCAAUACAAGUUCCCUGGUCCGUUGGCUGGAAAAACACUCCCAAAGGUUGAGGUUCCCACCACCAUGUGUGACAAGCAGUGGGGAUAGUGUGGUCAAACAAUUGCAUUUUUGUUUCAUCUGACCAUAAAACAAGAGACCAGAAAUCAUCUUCUUUGUCCAUGUAAGCGUUUGCAAAGGCCAAGCGGGCUUUCAAACGCCGUUUCUGGAGAAAUGGCUUCCUCAUUGGUCUGCGUCCGUGGAGCCCAGCAGUGUGGAGUGUCUGUUGGACUGUCUUGCCUUGAGAUGUUGCCACCACCAUAGCCCAGAUUCACCUGGAUGGCCUAGGUGGUGAUACUUGAAAUAAUUUUCAUCGUCCUGGCCAACACAGGGGUCGCUUUCAGCUUCUGACCACAUCCUCUGAGAUUUUCCAUGGUGUGGAACGUCUUGUAUUUUUGUAAAUAAUACUUUGCACUGUAGACCACUGGAACUUGAAAACAUUUAGAUAUGGCCUUUCCUGACUUGUGAGCAGCCACAACGCGCAGCCACAGGUAGCCAGUGAGCUCCUUUGUCUUUGCCAUAACUUUCCCCCUGUUAAGUUGAUUAAAAUAGCUGUUCCCAAUCAAUCAGGGGAAUUAGGAUGCUUUAGAAUAGCUUGAACUAUUUAGAAUGAUAUUGAACUUAGCACUUUUUCUUUUUUUUUUUUAAACUUUUCCAAUAGACUUUGACAGUGAAUUUUAAACAUGUCACUUUUUGUCCAAAUGUAAAUAAAAGCUGCUGAGUAAUUUUUUUCCCAAA